rnacentral:rRNA from 1 species
CACGUAGGGGGCAAGCGUUGUCCGGAUUUAUUGGGCGUAAAGAGCUCGUAGGCGGUUCGCUAAGUCGGGUGUGAAACCUCCAGGCUCAACCUGGAGACGCCACCCGAUACUGGUGAGACUCGAGUCCGGUAGGGGAGCGUGGAAUUCCUGGUGUAGCGGUGAAAUGCGCAGAUAUCAGGAGGAACACCAGCGGCGAAGGCGGCGCUCUGGGCCGGAACUGACGCUGAGGAGCGAAAGCGUGGGUAGCAAACAGG